rnacentral:rRNA from 1 species
CCUAGGAAUCUGCCUGGUAGUGGGGGAUAACGUCCGGAAACGGGCGCUAAUACCGCAUACGUCCUGAGGGAGAAAGUGGGGGAUCUUCGGACCUCACGCUAUCAGAUGAGCCUAGGUCGGAUUAGCUAGUUGGUGGGGUAAAGGCCUACCAAGGCGACGAUCCGUAACUGGUCUGAGAGGAUGAUCAGUCACACUGGAACUGAGACACGGUCCAGACUCCUACGGGAGGCAGCAGUGGGGAAUAUUGGACAAUGGGCGAAAGCCUGAUCCAGCCAUGCCGCGUGUGUGAAGAAGGUCUUCGGAUUGUAAAGCACUUUAAGUUGGGAGGAAGGGCAGUAAGUUAAUACCUUGCUGUUUUGACGUUACCAACAGAAUAAGCACCGGCUAACUUCGUGCCAGCAGCCGCGGUAAUACGAAGGGUGCAAGCGUUAAUCGGAAUUACUGGGCGUAAAGCGCGCGUAGGUGGUUCAGCAAGUUGGAUGUGAAAUCCCCGGGCU